GCGCCCUAAAUUUGUUCAUAUUAUUUUUCAUGAUUCCCCAAACAAACUGGCUGGAAAUCUCAUUUUGCACAGGCAUUUCGUGUUCAACUUGGGACAAAUACUUUAUCUUGGGUCAGUUUUUCUUGAAUCUUUAAUACAGUACUCUUUCAUAUUCACAAGUUUCUCUUUUGUUUUCCACUAUCACCUCUUGACUUGGUGUCACGUUUCAAUUUCAUCUGAUUAGAUGUCAAACGGAUCAAUUCAUCAAAAUCUAAAUAAACCUAACGCUU
rnacentral:lncRNA from 1 species